ACGUCCACAUCAUGUUGAAACAAAGGUUCCCAUACGAUUACCGAAUUUAAGCAACAUCAAGCCUGAACAGUACCGUGAUGGGGAACCUCAUGCGAAUAUCAGGUGCUGUAAG